rnacentral:lncRNA from 1 species
UUAAAAAAUAGAUUUUAUUUUUAUUUUUUUGAAUGAAAUUAUAAAAAAAAUAAAAAAAUUUUAAAUACCACUCUAUGGUUUCACACUUUUUCACUUUCUCACUUUAGUAUUAUGUGGUUUAAAGUGUAGCAAUUUAGUAGCUUGUGGUUUUAUUUUUCUUUUUUUAUUAUACAUUCAAAGUUAAAACUAAAAAGUAUUAAAAUAAAUAUUCGAUAAACCUAAGUAGAGUAUUUGAAGUUUUUUGUAUAUAAUUUAGUAAAAUAUUAACAAAUGAGCUGACGAAAAGAAAAAAAAUAAAACUACAUAAUACUAACUUGAUAUACUUUUAACCAUAGGGUACUGAGGUGAGAAAGUACAAAACUAUAUAGGUGGUAUUUAAAGUUUACCCUAAAAAAUAUAAUAUAACUAAAUUAAUAAAUGAAAUAUUUCUUAUCUUAUUU